AUUGAACGCUGCGGCAGGCCUAACACAUGCAAGUCGAACGGCAGCGGGGAUAGCUUGCUAUCCUGCCGGCGAGUGGCGGACGGGUGAGUAAUGCAUGGGGAGCUGCCCAAUCGAGGGGGAUAACAACUGGAAACGGUUGCUAAUACCGCAUACGCCCUGCGGGGGAAAGGUGGGGACCUUCGGGCCUACCGCGAUUGGAUGCACCCAUGUGGGAUUAGCUAGUUGGUGAGGUAACGGCUCACCAAGGCGACGAUCUCUAGCUGGUCUGAGAGGAUGACCAGCCACACUGGAACUGAGACACGGUCCAGACUCCUACGGGAGGCAGCAGUGGGGAAUAUUGCACAAUGGGGGAAACCCUGAUGCAGCCAUGCCGCGUGUGUGAAGAAGGCCUUCGGGUUGUAAAGCACUUUCAGUGGGGAGGAAGGGUUGAUGACUAAUAUUCAUCAGCAUUGACGUUACCCACAGAAGAAGCACCGGCUAACUCCGUG
rnacentral:rRNA from 1 species